rnacentral:rRNA from 1 species
CCUACGGGUUGCAGCAGUGGGGAAUAUUGCACAAUGGGCGCAAGCCUGAUGCAGCCAUGCCGCGUGUGUGAAGAAGGCCUUCGGGUUGUGAAGCACUUUCAGCGAGGAGGAAGGUGGUGAGCUUAAUACGCUCAUCAAUUGACGUUACUCGCAGAAGACGCACCGGCUAACUCCGUGCCAGCAGCCGAGGUAAUACGGAGGGUGCAAGCGUUAAUCGGAAUUACUGGGCGUAAAGCGCACGCAGGCGGUUUGUUAAGUCAGAUGUGAAAUCCCCGGGCUCAACUUGGGAACUGCAUUUGAAACUGGCAAGCUAGAGUCUCGUAGAGGGGGGUAGAAUUCCAGGUGUAGCGGUGAAAUGCGUAGAGAUCUGGAGGAAUACCGGUGGCGAAGGCGGCCCCCUGGACGAAGACUGACGCUCAGGUGCUAAAGCGUGGGGAGCAAACAGGAUUAGAUACCCUGGUAGUC